GGGUCUGUAGCUCAGGUGGUUAGAGCACCGUCUUGAUAAGGCGGGGGUCGUAGGUUCAAGUCCUACCAGACCCAC
rnacentral:tRNA from 1 species